rnacentral:rRNA from 1 species
CCUACGGGCGGCAGCAGUGGGGAAUAUUGCACAAUGGGGGAAACCCUGAUGCAGCGACGCCGCGUGAAGGAUGAAGUAUUUCGGUAUGUAAACUUCCAUUAGCAGGGAAGAAAAUGACGGUACCUGACGAAUAAGCCACGGCUAACUACGUGACAGCAGCCGCGGCAAUACGUAGGUGGCAAGCGUUGUCCGGAUUUACUGGGGGUAAAGGGCGUGUAGGCGGGUUGACAAGUCUGAUGUGAAAUGCUGAGGCUUAACCGGAGCACUGCAUUUGAGACUGUGGGUCUUGAGUACUGGAGAGGCAGACGGAAUUCCUGGUGUAGCGGUGAAAUGCGUAGAUAUUGAGAGGAACACCAGUGGCGAAGGCGGGCUGCUGGACAGCAACUGACGGUGAGGCACGAAAGCGUGGGGAGCGAACAGGAUUAGAUACCCGGGUAGUC